GAAAAGCCUGGGAGCGACGUGAAAGCUGAGCCGCCCUCAGCCUGCAUCGCAUGUACGAAACCCGGAGUGUCUCUCUGCGGUCAGAUCACAGCCGUUUCCAAAAGCUGUGUUGCAGGUCUCCAUUAUGUACAUGCUCUGUGAUGGUUCUGGGCUGCUGUGGACGGAGCCGGGGUGCUGAUGUCGCUGCAGCGUCCCCCCCUCCAGGGUCUGCGCAGGAUUCAGACAACUUCUCCAGCAUGAAAACACUUCCUUUGUUCAACAGCAGCACUUCAGGAGUGAGCAGUUGUUACUGACGCUGCCUCUGCAGACCCUCACAG